UACGUAGGGUGCGAGCGUUAAUCGGAAUUACUGGGCGUAAAGCGUGCGCAGGCGGUUUUGUAAGCCAGAUGUGAAAUCCCCGGGCUUAACCUGGGAAUGGCAUUUGGGACUGCAAGGCUUGAGUGCGGCAGAGGAGACUGGAAUUCCUGGUGUAGCAGUGAAAUGCGUAGAUAUCAGGAGGAACACCGAUGGCGAAGGCAGGUCUCUGGCUGGACACUGACGCUCAUGCACGAAAGCGUGGGGAGCGAAACA
rnacentral:rRNA from 1 species